AGAGACAGUGGUGUCAUUAAAACCCUUUGUAAAAUGCUUUUGAAAAUAUUCACCCAGAACUUGAAAGUGAUUUAUUUUCUCAAACACUGGAAAAGCUUUCAAACCAAAGGACUUCCUUCUAGUAUAUAAGGUGGAGGAAGCAGUGUGUGACAGACUAAAUUUUUUCAAGUAGAAAGGUAAAUUCAGUCCCUGUGACUCCAUCUUGUUCAGAACCGAAGUCCCACUGCUUCAUGGAUUACAGCAGACUCUUCCUCUCAGGCUUCCCUGGUGGUCCAGUGGUUGAGAAUCCGCCUGCCAAUGCAGUUAGGGGACACUAAUUUGAUCCCCAGUCUGGAAAGAUCCCACUGGCUGUGAGGCAACUAAGCCCGUGUACCACAACGACUGAGCUUGCACUCUGGAGCCCAUGAGCAGCAGCUACUGAAGCCCACGUGCCCUAGAGCCUGUGCGCCACAGCAAGGGAAGCCACCACAAUGCGAGGCCCGUGCACUGCAUGAGAAAGUAGCCCCCACUCUCCACACUGAGAGAAAGUCCAUGUCCAGCAACAAAGACCUAGUGC
ensembl:lncRNA